UUAGCUUUCUCCACUGUUAUUCAAUCUCUUGGUCGGUCAACCUUUUGCUUUGAAGUACUCUCUCUCUCUUACAACUCCAUAAAUUUGAUCUCAAGACACUGAUCAUACUCUCAACACAAUAUUCUUUUGUGCUCAUCUUUGGAUCAGCUAUUUUGGGUCAUCCUUCAUCAGCUAUAUAUGGCGGAAUCCGGUGAGAAUCCCUUGUACAGCUGCAGGAAUUGCAGAAAUCCUCUUGCCUUCAGUACGGAUCUCUUAUCCAAAUCUUAUCAGGCAAGAUCAGGACAGGCAUAUAUGUUUUCUCAUGUGAUGAACAUUGUUUUGGGACAUAAAAAAGACAUGAAGAUGAUAACUGGGAUGUACACAAUUGCUGGUAUCCACUGCAGCAGUUGUGGUCAGGAGCUGGGCUGGAAAUAUGUGAGAGCUUUUGAUCCAACACAGAGGUUCAAGGAAGGGAAUUUCAUACUUGAGAAAUUGAAGCUUGUGAAGGAAUAUUAGAUAUUCACACCUACAAGACUCAUUUCAAGAGAGAUUCAUGUUCUAAAUGCCUCAUAUGAUGAGGAUAUGUGUUAUUUGCUAUUGAGACUAUGUUUGUGUUUGAUUAAUGUUAUGUGAAAUACUCGAAAAUAA